rnacentral:rRNA from 1 species
UGGGGAAUUUUGGACAACGGGCGAAAGCCUGAUCCAGCCAUGCCGCGUGUGUGAAGAAGGUCUUCGGAUUGUAAAGCACUUUAAGUUGGGAGGAAGGGCAUUAACCUAAUACGUUAGUGUUUUGACGUUACCGACAGAAUAAGCACCGGCUAACUCUGUGCCAGCAGCCGCGGUAAUACAGAGGGUGCAAGCGUUAAUCGGAAUUACUGGGCGUAAAGCGCGCGUAGGUGGUUUGUUAAGUUGGAUGUGAAAUCCCCGGGCUCAACCUGGGAACUGCAUUCAAAACUGACUGACUAGAGUAUGGUAGAGGGUGGUGGAAUUUCCUGUGUAGCGGUGAAAUGCGUAGAUAUAGGAAGGAACACCAGUGGCGAAGGCGACCACCUGGACUAAUACUGACACUGAGGUGCGAAAGCGUGGGGAGCAAACA